CACGUAGGGGGCAAGCGUUGUCCGGAUUCAUUGGGCGUAAAGAGCUCGUAGGCGGUUCGAUAAGUCGGGUGUGAAACCUCCAGGCUCAACCUGGAGACGCCACCCGAUACUGUCGUGACUAGAGUCCAGUAGGGGAGCGUGGAAUUCCUGGUGUAGCGGUGAAAUGCGCAGAUAUCAGGAGGAACACCAAUGGCGAAGGCAGCUCGCUGGAACGGUACUGACGCUGAGGCGCGAAAGCGUGGGGAGCGAACAGG
rnacentral:rRNA from 1 species